CUCAGCAAACACAAUCAGGGCUGCUCUGUAAAGCUAUCUUACCAGGCUUACCUGAUUCACACAGCAGGUUACAAUGACAAGAACAAGAUAUCUGAUGUGAAUGCAGACUGAUCCAGAGGAAAGGAAUAGUAAUCAAAGAUAAAAUUGUUAAUGGAAAGGAGAAAAAGAAUUUAAAGAGCUAUGCAAGCAAAAAAUGUUGGGGAACAUCAUUUGUCUUUCUGUAAUCAGUAAAAGCUAUUCAUUACAUUUGGUAAGUAUCAAUCUAUCCAU
rnacentral:lncRNA from 1 species